UACGGGGGGGGCAAGCGUUGUUCGGAAUUACUGGGCGUAAAGGGCUCGUAGGUGGCCAACUAAGUCAGACGUGAAAUCCCUCGGCUUAACCGGGGAACUGCGUCUGAUACUGGAUGGCUUGAGUUCGGGAGAGGGAUGCGGAAUUCCAGGUGUAGCGGUGAAAUGCGUAGAUAUCUGGAGGAACACCGGUGGCGAAGGCGGCAUCCUGGACCGACACUGACACUGAGGCGCGAAAGCCAGGGGAGCAAACGGG
rnacentral:rRNA from 1 species